CGACCGGCGCACGGGUGAGUAACACGUAUGGAACCUGCCCUAUGCAGGGGGAUAAGCGGAAGAAAUCCCGACUAAUACCGCGUAACGCCGCGGACCUGCAUGGGUCUGCGGCCAAAGGAAGCGAUUCCGGCGGGGGAUGGGCAUGCGGCGCAUUAGCUAGUCGGCGGGGUAACGGCCCACCGAGGCGACGAUGCGUAGGGGUUCUGAGAGGAAGGUCCCCCACACUGGUACUGAGACACGGACCAGACUCCUACGGAAGGCAGCAG
rnacentral:rRNA from 1 species